rnacentral:rRNA from 1 species
AUGAACGCUAGCUACAGGCUUAACACAUGCAAGUCGAGGGGCAGCAUGAACUUAGCUUGCUAAGUUUGAUGGCGACCGGCGCACGGGUGAGUAACACGUAUCCAACCUGCCGAUGACUCGGGGAUAGCCUUUCGAAAGAAAGAUUAAUACCCGAUGGCAUAGUUCUUCCGCAUGGUAGAACUAUUAAAGAAUUUCGGUCAUCGAUGGGGAUGCGUUCCAUUAGGUUGUUGGCGGGGUAACGGCCCACCAAGCCUUCGAUGGAUAGGGGUUCUGAGAGGAAGGUCCCCCACAUUGGAACUGAGACACGGUCCAAACUCCUACGGGAGGCAGCAGUGAGGAAUAUUGGUCAAUGGACGAGAGUCUGAACCAGCCAAGUAGCGUGAAGGAUGACUGCCCUAUGGGUUGUAAACUUCUUUUAUACGGGAAUAAAGUGAGGCACGUGUGCCUUUUUGUAUGUACCGUAUGAAUAAGGAUCGGCUAACUCCGUGCCAGCAGCCGCGGUCAUACGGAGGAUUCGAGCGUUAUCCGGAUUUAUUGGGUUUAAAGGGAGCGUAGGCGGACGCUUAAGUCAGUUGUGAAAGUUUGCGGCUCAACCGUAAAAUUGCAGUUGAUACUGGGUGUCUUGAGUACAGUAGAGGCAGGCGGAAUUCGUGGUGUAGCGGUGAAAUGCUUAGAUAUCACGAAGAACUCCGAUUGCGAAGGCAGCUUGCUGGACUGUAACUGACGCUGAUGCUCGAAAGUGUGGGUAUCAAACAGGAUUAGAUACCCUGGUAGUCCACACAGUAAACGAUGAUUACUAGGUGUUGGAGGAUUGACCCCUUCAGUGCCGCAGUUAACACAAUAAGUAAUACACCUGGGGAGUACGAACGCAAGGUUGAAACUCAAAGGAAUUGACGGGGGCCCGCACAAGCGGAGGAACAUGUGGUUUAAUUCGAUGAUACGCGAGGAACCUUACCCGGGCUUGAAUUGCAACUGAAUGAUGUGGAGACAUGUCAGCCGCAAGGCAGUUGUGAAGGUGCUGCAUGGUUGUCGUCAGCUCGUGCCGUGAGGUGUCGGCUUAAGUGCCAUAACGAGCGCAACCCUUAUCGAUAGUUACCAUCAGGUUAUGCUGGGGACUCUGUCGAGACUGCCGUCGUAAGAUGUGAGGAAGGUGGGGAUGACGUCAAAUCAGCACGGCCCUUACGUCCGGGGCUACACACGUGUUACAAUGGGGGGUACAGAAGGCAGCUACACGGCGACGUGAUGCUAAUCCCUAAAGCCUCUCUCAGUUCGGAUUGGAGUCUGCAACCCGACUCCAUGAAGCUGGAUUCGCUAGUAAUCGCGCAUCAGCCACGGCGCGGUGAAUACGUUCCCGGGCCUUGUACACACCGCCCGUCAAGCCAUGAAAGCCGGGGGUACCUGAAGUGCGUAACCGCAAGGAGCGCCCUAGGGUAAAACUGGUGAUUGGGGCU